GACGAACGCUGGCGGCGUGCCUAAUACAUGCAAGUCGAACGCAGUGGGAACGGGUGCGUAACACGUGGGUAACCUCCCAUCAGAGGGGAUAACACUUGGAUACAGGUGCUAAACCGAUACUGAUGUAGGUACCCAGGGUGCAUGAGCUAGUUGGUGGGGUAACGGCUUACCAAGGCCACGAUGCAUAGGCUACCCGAGAGGGUGAGCGGCCACACGGGGAAGGAGAAACGGCCCCGACCCCGACGGGAGGCAGGAGUAGGGAAUCUUCGGCAAGGGGCAGAAGUCGAAACGAGCAACGCCGCGUGAGGGAAGAGGGUUUUCGGAGCGUAAAACUCUGUUGUUAGAGAAGCGGUAUCUAACCAGAAAGCCACGGCUAACUACGUGCCAGCAGCCGCGGUAAUAC
rnacentral:rRNA from 1 species